UGGGGAAUAUUGGACAAUGGGCGAAAGCCUGAUCCAGCCAUGCCGCGUGUGUGAAGAAGGUCUUCGGAUUGUAAAGCACUUUAAGUUGGGAGGAAGGGCAGUAAGCGAAUACCUUGCUGUUUUGACGUUACCGACAGAAUAAGCACCGGCUAAUUCUGUGCCAGCAGCCGCGGUAAUACAGAGGGUGCAAGCGUUAAUCGGAAUUACUGGGCGUAAAGCGCGCGUAGGUGGUUCGUUAAGUUGAAUGUGAAAGCCCCGGGCUCAACCUGGGAACUGCAUCCAAAACUGGCGAGCUAGAGUAGGGCAGAGGGUGGUGGAAUUUCCUGUGUAGCGGUGAAAUGCGUAGAUAUAGGAAGGAACACCAGUGGCGAAGGCGACCACCUGGGCUCAUACUGACACUGAGGUGCGAAAGCGUGGGGAGCAAACAGG
rnacentral:rRNA from 1 species